GAAGGUAUAGGAUCAGUAUUAUGUGCGCCAAUUUGUACGCGAUAAGGAAGGUAUAGGAUCAGUAUUGUGUGCGCCAAUUUGUACGCGAUAAGGAAGGUAUAGGAUCAGUAUUGUGUGCGCCAAUUUGUACGCGAUAAGGAAGGUAUAGGAUCAGUAUUGUGUGCGCCAAUUUGUACGCGAUAAGGAAGGUAUAGGAUCAGUAUUUUGUGCGCCAAUUUGUACGCGAUAAGGAAGGUAUAGGAUCAGUAUUGUGUGCGCCAAUUUGUACGCGAUAAGGAAGGUAUAGGAUCAGUAUUGUGUGCGCCAGUUUGUACGCGAUAAGGAAGGUAUAGGAUCAGUAUUGUGUGCGCCAAUUUGUACGCGAUAAGGAAGGUAUAGGAUCAGUAUUGUGUGCGCCAGUUUGUACGCGAUAAGGAAGGUAUAGGAUCAGUAUUGUGUGCGCCAAUUUGUACGCGAUAGAAAGAAAUCGAAAACGAGGGCGAUGUCUACCCCGAACGAAACUCUCUAGCAGAACACAAGGAGGCAAUUUACCUGUCAAUAUACCUGCAGCGCUAAGUGUCAGGUGAAGCCAACAGGUGUGAGAUGCUCGAUAUGAGAUAGCCGCCGCCAAGCAGUUCUAUGUACGGCAGGAGGAAUAGAGGUGACACUCCUGAGGCUGCUGGGAAACUAAACCGACGAGACCUCUGCAAGCACGUGAGACAGAGCUAAGAGGAACGGUGAAACAAGUGGAAGGGAAGAAAGAUAAGGGACGAAGAACAAUGAAACAAAUUAAGGCGAGGAAUAGAGGUGACACUCCUAAGGCUGCAGGAAAACUUAACCGAAGAAAUCUCCACAAGCACGUGAGACAGCUAAGAGGAACGGUGAAACAAGUGGAAGGGAGGUUUCUGUAAGAGGAAAGAUAAAGGACGAAGAACAAUGAAACAAAUUAAGGCGAGGUUUCUACAAGAGGACUGAAACCUAGACCCGAGGCCUCAGGAGAGAUAAGAUACGAGGAACAGUGAAAGACAUGCAAGUGAGGUUUCUAUAAGAGAAAGAAAACCUAAGACCAAGGCCUCACGAAGCUAGGCAAACACCAAAACGAAAUGAGCUCUCUACAACAGCACUAAAAACAAGAAAACCAAGGCCUCACGAAGCUACGAGGAACAGCAUAACGAGGUGAGCUCUCUAUAACAGGACUAAAAACCAAACACCAAGGGCUGACGAGGCUAGACAAACAGCAUAACGAAGUGAGCUCUCUACAGUAGGACUAAAAACAAGAAAACCAAGGCCUCACGGAGCUACGAGGAACAGUGAAGCCGAAAGAAGUGAAGUUUGUACAUACAAGGAGAAGAAAAACUAAUACCGAGUCCUCUGAAAGUAAAGAAAAACAAGAGAAGCGAUAUGUCUUAUGUGAAACGAAGUGUGCUGUUUAUGCGAGAGGAAGAAAAACUAGAAAAAAACUACAACCCGAGGCCUCUGUAAGCUAUAAACAAAAUAAUCGCUAUCUCUUCCUAGUAAAAUAUAGAUUCUAAAGACAAAGGAAGUAAAGAGAAACAAAAGAAACAAUGCGUAUCUCUUCCUAGUAAGAGAUAAACUAUAAAGACCUUUGUACAGCCUAACCCAUAGAUAACUCUUUGUAG